rnacentral:rRNA from 1 species
UACGUAGGUGGCAAGCGUUGUCCGGAUUUACUGGGCGUAAAGCGCGUGUAGGCGGCUGUCUAAGUUGGGUGUGAAAGCCCGGGGCUCAACCCCGGGACGCCGCCCAAGACUGGACGGCUUGAGGACGGAAGAGGGGCGUGGAAUUCCAGGUGUAGCGGUGAAAUGCGUAGAUAUCUGGAGGAACACCGGUGGCGAAGGCGGCAUCCUGGACCAUUACUGACACUGAUAAGCGAAAGCCAGGGGAGCAAACGGG